AACGAACGCUGGCGGCAUGCCUAACACAUGCAAGUCGAACGAGACCUUCGGGUCUAGUGGCGCACGGGUGCGUAACGCGUGGGAAUCUGCCCUUGGGUUCGGAAUAACAGUUGGAAACGACUGCUAAUACCGGAUGAUGACGUAAGUCCAAAGAUUUAUCGCCCAAGGAUGAGCCCGCGUAGGAUUAGCUAGUUGGUGAGGUAAAGGCUCACCAAGGCGACGAUCCUUAGCUGGUCUGAGAGGAUGAUCAGCCACACUGGGACUGAGACACGGCCCAGACUCCUACGGGAGGCAGCAGUGGGGAAUAUUGGACAAUGGGCGAAAGCCUGAUCCAGCAAUGCCGCGUGAGUGAUGAAGGCCUUAGGGUUGUAAAGCUCUUUUACCCGGGAUGAUAAUGACAGUACCGGGAGAAUAAGCUCCGGUUAACUCCGUG
rnacentral:rRNA from 1 species